rnacentral:rRNA from 1 species
GUGGGGAAUAUUGGACAAUGGGGGGAACCCUGAUCCAGCCAUGCCGCGUGUGUGAAGAAGGCCUUUUGGUUGUAAAGCACUUUAAGCGAGGAGGAGGCUACCGAGAUUAAUACUCUUGGAUAGUGGACGUUACUCGCAGAAUAAGCACCGGCUAACUCUGUGCCAGCAGCCGCGGUAAUACAGAGGGUGCAAGCGUUAAUCGGAUUUACUGGGCGUAAAGCGCGAGGAGGUGGCCAAUUAAGUCAAAUGUGAAAUCCCCGAGCUUAACUUGGGAAUUGCAUUCGAUACUGGUUGGCUAGAGUAUGGGAGAGGAUGGUAGAAUUCCAGGUGUAGCGGUGAAAUGCGUAGAGAUCUGGAGGAAUACCGAUGGCGAAGGCAGCCAUCUGGCCUAAUACUGACACUGAGGUGCGAAAGCAUGGGGAGCAAACAGGAUUAGAUACCCUUGUAGUCC